AGCAACCACUGAAUGCAGACUAACAGAUCCGCUGGAGCCAGGACUAUCCACCGACUGACAACCAGCCAGCCAUGGGCCAGGAUUAUUACUCUGUGCUCCAGAUCACUCGCAAUUCAGAAGAUGCCCAGAUCAAGAAUGCGUACCGGAAACUUGCCCUUAAGAACCACCCGUUGAGGUCCACUGAGCCAUCCGCGGCGGAGGCAUUCAGGCAAAUAGCGGAGGCCUACGAUGUGCUGAGCGACCCUGUGAAAAGAGGCAUCUAUGACAAGUUCGGAGAGGAAGGCCUGAAGGGCGGAAUUCCUCUGGAGUUUGGAUCGCAGACCCCAUGGACAACUGGUUACGUCUUCCACGGCAACCCGGAAAAGGUUUUCCAUGAGUUCUUCGGGGGCGAUAACCCUUUUAAUGUGUUUUUUGAUGCAGAAGGAAAUGAAGUGGACUUGAACUUUGGGGGACUCCGGGGCCGAGGGGUCAAGAAACAGGACCCCCCAGUCGAACGAGACCUCUACCUGUCCCUGGAGGACUUAUUCUUUGGCUGCACCAAGAAAAUUAAGAUCUCCCGAAGGGUGCUGAACGAGGAUGGGUACUCCUCUAUCAUCAAGGACAAGAUCCUCACAAUUGACGUGAAGCCUGGUUGGAGGCAGGGCACACGUAUCACCUUCGAGAAGGAAGGGGACCAGGGUCCCAACAUCAUCCCAGCUGACGUCAUCUUCAUCGUAAAGGAGAAGCUACACCCUCGCUUCCGCAGGGAGAACGACAACCUCUUUUUUGUGAACUCCAUCCCCUUGGGCGAGAUUUCUCCUUUAGUGGAACUCAGUAUUGUAGAGAAGCGUCCCGCAACACAGCAGACUCUGGUGAGUGGGAGUGGGGCAGGGGGGCGAGUCAUGAUGGGUCAGAGACUCGCUGAAUCAACUAGGGACAACAGCGGGGCUGCAAGGAGGUUAGAGGGGCUGGAGCAGGCCCUGCUGAGGCUGCAUCAAGCAGCUCAAAGCCUCCUGCCAGCAGAAAGAGCCCCAGGAAUGGCCUGGGGCCGCCUGGAGUGGGAGAGGUCAUUCUGGUCUUCGCUGAAGGUCCCCCACCCCGGCCGAGGAGAGGAAGUGGAAGGUUGAAGCCUUAUAUUACAGCCAUUUGAACGCGAGAGGUAAAGAACAAAAGCAAGACAUGAAAAGAGUGAAAGAAGAGAGAUAAACAACAAAAGCCUGUCGACUGUCUGGGACUGUUGUAAGAAUUCGUGGAGGUCGUGGAAGCCAUAUCGUUGACUACAUUGUAAGCUCUUCUAGAGCGGGAAGCUAUUUCCUAUAUUUUAAGUAUCACAACCCUCUAAGACCCGCUUUAGAUGUGGACAGGGACCGUUGCCUGCCAUUCUAGUAAACAAAGAAUGUUGCCCACCAUUCCAGUUCUAUAAGGAUCUGGCCAUUAGUCACUGCAGCCUUCCACCCACGGUGAGCCCUGAAAGGAAUGCAGGGUGGAGAAAAACAAGAAGUAUUCUGUGCUUUGGAUUCUAUUGGCCCUAGAUAGUUAAGAUGCAUACCUAAGGAAUAAUUUAAAUGAACCCAGAUUCUUGCAUCUUCCCAUAUACAGAAAAGCACUAAAAUCAUUAAUUUGAGAUGUCUGUUCUUUGUGAUUGACAGUAAUCUUUUGAUGUUCAACUACAUUUUUUUUUCCAGCAAAAAACUCCUAUUUAUCCUGGCUUCUCUCUUACCUCUUCCGAGCAUUUCCUCAAAGCUGAGAGGCCAUCUCCUGGGCUAUUGUCUUCAGUAAGAUCCCCAAAUAAAACUUAACUCUCUACCUUUAGGUCGUGUGUUUUUCUUCAGUUGACAUAUAGUAGAGGCUCAGUGCAUGCUGUUUGGGCUGCUGUUGAAAGUGCCCUUGGGAAGUGUAAUGGGAGGAUCUGGGAAGAUGAACAUUUAGUGAGUGCAGUUACUAUGUUCAGGUUCAGUGUGGAUACUUCACAUAACCCUGUGAGGCUGGUGUUAACCUCUGAUCUACAGAUGCAUGCCAAAGAGGUUAAAUCAUCUGCCUAAUGUCACAUGGUUAGGAAUGGUGCACCAUGACUUAAGCCCUGGUUAAUCAGCUCAGUGUGUGUAUUUUUUGUCCACAAGCAGAAGGAAUUGUCAGCCAGGAGACUAUAGCUGGAAUGGGACUGGAUAAUUAUAGCAGAAAAGAAAAAACACACUGAGCAUAUGAUGCUGGCAGAAACAAAAUGGAAACUGAGAAAUCAAGCCCAAAAUUUAUUUCUGGCACUGUGGAGUCUCCCAUCUACUGCUGGCCUAGCUUUUGCACAUAAGCUUCUGUCUUUGGCUGUGAUGAACGGAUUACCAGGAUAUUCAGCAAGUUUGUGGUGAGAUUACUGAACUGGUCGGUGAUCUUUGAGGAGACAUGAAAAAUAGAGUAAAACAAAGGCUUGGAAAUAAAUGUGUUGCCCUGAUUGCCAAAACAGGGAAGAAUCUAGAUUUCAAAGACUUUAUACCUGUGAGAUGUUUGUUCAUCCCUAGCAAAAUUCAAGGGACUGUUAAAAGGAUGAUGUGUGGAUACUAAGAAGUAGAUAUCACCAGGAUUCAACAUGGAUUUCUUAAGAAGUCCUGUUAAAUUCUCUUCCUUAGGAUGGAGCCAGGCAGAUCAGGGUGAUGCUACAGACACUGUACCUCUGGAUUUUUAGAGGUACAGCUCAU